UGCAGUCGAACGGCAGCAUGACCUAGCUUGCUAGGUUGAUGGCGAGUGGCGAACGGGUGAGUAAUGCAUCGGAACGUGCCUUUUAGUGGGGGAUAACGUAGCGAAAGUUACGCUAAUACCGCAUAUUCUCUGAGGAGGAAAGCAGGGGACCUUCGGGCCUUGCGCUAGAAGAGCGGCCGAUGUCGGAUUAGCUAGUUGGUGAGGUAAAGGCUCACCAAGGCAACGAUCCGUAGCGGGUCUGAGAGGAUGAUCCGCCACACUGGGACUGAGACACGGCCCAGACUCCUACGGGAGGCAGCAGUGGGGAAUUUUGGACAAUGGGCGCAAGCCUGAUCCAGCCAUGCCGCGUGAGUGAAGAAGGCCUUCGGGUUGUAAAGCUCUUUCGGCUGGGAAGAAAUCGCACUCUCUAAUACAGGGUGUGGAUGACGGUACCAGCAUAAGAAGCACCGGCUAACUACGUGCCAGCAGCCGCGGUAAUACGUAGGGUGCGAGCGUUAUUCGGAAUUACUGGGCGUAAAGCGUGCGCAGGCGGUUGUGUAAGACAGACGUGAAAUCCCCGGGCUCAACCUGGGAACUGCGUUUGUGACUGCACGGCUAGAGUACGGCAGAGGGGGGUGGAAUUCCACGUGUAGCAGUGAAAUGCGUAGAGAUGUGGAGGAACACCGAUGGCGAAGG
rnacentral:rRNA from 1 species